UACAGCCCAGGCUGCUCAGAAAUUAUAAACCAGUCCUUUUCCCUGUGAACAGAGCAACAUCAGACAGGCUGGGGGAACAAGAUGGAGUCACAGACCCAGGUCCUCAUGUUGCUGCUGUUCUGGGUGUCUGGUAGCAGAGAGGACAUCGUGAUGACCCAGUCUCCAUCAUCACUGGCUGUGUCAGCAGGAGAGAAGGUCACCAUCAGCUGCAGGUCCAGUCAGAGUCUUUUAUACAACAAAGACCAAAAGAACUACUUGUUCUGGUACCAGCAGAAAUCAAGGCAAUCCCCUAAGCUGCUGAUCUCCUAUGCAUCCACUCGGCACACUGGGGUCCCUGAUCGCUUCACAGGCAGUGGAUCUGGAACAGAUUUCACUCUCAGCAUCAGUACUGUGCAGGCAGAAGACCUGGCAGUUUAUUACUGUCUGCAGAGUUACAGUGCUCCUCCCACAGUGCUUCAGCCUCCAACAAAAACCUUCUUGAGAAUCUAA